GUGGUGCAUGCUGACAAAUUUCUGAGCAGCCUUAGUCCUGUGGCAGGCCGGAUGUGGACCCCAUUUUAAGCCAUAUCUGGUGACCAAUGUGGGGCAGAACCAGCUAAAGUGUACCCUUAGCUGGCGCCUACACACAGAGACCAACAUCGGUACUCCAAAUUGCCCAAGACUGAAAUGGGGCGCACAAGGGAAAAGAAAAGAGCAAGUUCCUGCUGCCACAGAUCCAGCUGAGACAGUGCCAUCUCCUGAAACCUGUAUACAACAAAGCUGCCUUCCUUCAGACACUUCAUCUGACUGAAGGAAGGCUCCUGAGACACAUGCUAAGAUCCAGAGACACCUGCUGAACCCCACAGAGGACAGACUUGGGAUCUUCCAGCUACAGAUGAACUCUUUUGCCAAAGUCAAAUGGCUACUGAACUUUAGGAAAGUUACAUGAGAGUGCAGAUACCCACAGCCAAACACUGGACAGAGUUCACAGACUCUAAAGGAAGAGAUGGGGGGAGUAAUUGAAGGCCCUGAAGAGGAUGAGAACUUUACAGAAAAAUCAAGAGAGACAACAAACCUGGAACCCUGGGAGCUGUCAAAGACUGAGCCACAAAUCAACCAAAGAAUGUACAUGGGCUGGAAUGAGCACAUAUGUAGCAGAUGUGCAGCUCAGUCUCCAUGGCUGCCUUGCCUAGCCUCAGUGGGAGAGGUGGCACCUAGUCUGACAGAGACUUGAAGUACCCCACCCUCACAGAGCAGAAAGGGAGGAGACACAAAGGGAGGGACUCUGUGAGGAGGGACCUGGACGUGGAGCAACAUAUGGGAUGUAAAUGAAUAAAUAAAUAGAUAAAUAAAUUCUCCUGCAGGAGUGGUGUCAUUGAACCAAUUUACUCUCCCAGCUUCCUGAGUAGCAGACAGUAUCUCUCCAUACUUUACUAAUUGUUUACAGGGACUCUAGAUCUCAUCAUGUUAGUAGCAAAAACUAUCAUAAUAAUGGAAACAUCAAUGCCUGUGUUGAUAUGAAAUUAUUACAACAGGGAUUAAAACAGGGUACUACAUUCCUGGUUUGGACUCAGAGAAAGGAAUAGGUUUUAUUAAAUAAGGAUAUGUGAUAUGUCACAGAUGGAGGAGAUAUACAGAGAGAAUCAGGAAGUUGAACAGAAGUCUCAUCAAUGCACGUUAUUAAGUCAACUUGUAAAUUUAAUUAAAGAAAAAUGGAAUGAUAAAUAAGGGAAAUAACAAGUGAGAAGCAAGAACAAUGGAAUGGAAAGGAAAUGAGAUGCAAUGGAAGUAAAGAAUUAAUAGUUGUCCAUUUACUUUUCAAACUCAUUAUGUCAGCUGGUCAGACUAACUACAGGAACCAAUGUUGGCUAUAUACUCCAGGCACUCCUUGGUAAAUUAAGUGGCUGUACUAUGAAGGAUAAUCAAAAUAUUCUUGAUAGCAAAAUGCUGUCUUCAGGGCUGUAAGUUGACACUCCCCAUGAAGUUCUUAGUUAAUAAACUGUUACACUCAAAGUAGCA
rnacentral:lncRNA from 1 species